rnacentral:tRNA from 1 species
CAGAAAGUGGUUUAAUAAAGAAUUUUAGCUUUGGGAGCUAAGGGUGGGAGUUUGAUUCUCCUCUUUCUGA